CUUGCCAAGGUGACAGCGCGGGUUACGUGGAGGAGCCGAGGACACAGCGAAGUCAGCAGGGCAGGAAUUCUCCAUUUUAUUGAGAGUCACAGCGAAGUCGGAUGCCCCAGGCCCUAGUGACAAUUUGCCUGGGAGUUUUCCAGAUCCUCAAGCCUCGGGGACUCUGUCGCGCUGCCCCCAACAGCUGCUUUCUGUUUGGCCGCAGGCUCCAGAAAACACCCUCAAAGAGACACCCGGAUCUUCCAUCACUUACGAUGCAAAUUCUACGGCUGGAAAGCACGAGGGUAGAAAGGAAACAGUUGCGUUCUUUUUACCCCGCUCUGGAUUGCACGGUGGAAACUCCGUCUCCACGGAAACGCGCCCCCAGGCAGUGGUCGCCAGGGGCGGGGCUCAGGGCGGCUCCUCCCCCGGGCUGCAACUGUUCGCAGGCUGGGGCGAUUGCCGUCACCCCUGAACUUCCCUGUUCCUCUUCUCGGCCGCCGUCCUUUUCCGUUGUCCCUUCGCGCCCCAAACCACAUCCUAGAGCGCACUCUCCAGCGCUGCCGGCAGCGGGAACGGUGCGCCAGGGCGCAGGCCCAAGAGUCGCGUGCGUGGCCCCUUGCACCAUCCCCCCGGGCCCACCCCCGGGCCGCGCUGAUUGGGCAGGUAGGGACUCUGCCCAGCGGAAAGUUUUGGGUGCCGGGAGGAAGUCCAACCUUUGGGAGACUCAAAGACAGCAGCUCCGGGGUCGGCGGGGGUCUGGGUGGCCAUGGAGGAGCCCCCUGUGCGGGAAGAGGAGGAGGGAGAGGAGGACGAGGAGAGGGACGAGGCUGGGCCCGAGGGGGCGCUGGGCAAGAGCCCCUUCCAGCUGACCGCCGAGGACGUGUAUGACAUCUCCUACCUGUUGGGCCGCGAGCUUAUGGCCCUGGGCAGCGACCCCCGGGUGACGCAGCUGCAGUUCAAAGUCGUCCGCGUCCUGGAGAUGCUGGAGGCGCUGGUGAAUGAGGGCAACCUGGCGCUGGAGGAGCUGAAGAUGGAGAGGGACAACCUCAGGAAGAAGGUGGAGGGGCUGCGGAGACAGAGCCCUUCGGCCAGCGGGGAGGUCCUGCCUUCAGUGCUCCAGAAAUACACAGAAUUGGAAUUGCUGGAUCAAAUGGUGAACCUGGGCCCAAACAAAAUGGUGGUUGACCUGACAGAUCCCAACCGACCCCGCUUCACUCUGCAGGAGCUAAGGGAUGUGCUGCAGGAACGCAACAAACUCAAGUCACAGCUCCUGGUGGUGCAGGAAGAGCUGCAGUGCUACAAGAGUGGCCUGAUUCCACCAAGAGAAGGCCCAGGAGGAAGAAGAGAAAAAGAUGCUGUGGUUACUAGGGCCAACAAUGCUGGCAGGAACAAGGAGGAGAAGACAAUCAUAAAAAAGCUGUCUGCAGCUUCACUCCUGAAGCCAGCGAAACCACGAACCCACCGCGAGGAACAAACAACUCCAGACGCGUUGCCUUAAGAGCUAUAACACCGUGAAGGUCCGCAGCUUCACUCCUGAGCCAGCGAAACCUCGAACCUACCAGAAGGAAGAAACUCCGAACACAUCCGAACAGCAGAAGGAACAAACUCCAGACACGCGGCCUUUAAGAACUGUAACACUCACCGCGAGGGUCCGCGGUUUCAUUCUUGAAGUCAGUGAGACCAAGAACCCACCAAUUCCGGACACACUGGGAUUACAGGCGUCAGCCACCGCACCUGGCUUUUUUUUGGGGGGUGGGGGGUGGGGGGACGGAGUCUUGUUCUAUCGCCGAGGCUGGAGUGCAGUGGCACCAUCUGGGUUCACUGCAAUCUCCGCCUCCCAGAUUCAAGAUUCUCCUACCUCAGCCUCCCGACUAGCUGGGACUACAGGCAUAUGCCACCACACUGGGUUAAUUUUUGUAUUUUUAGUAGAGAUGGGGUUUCACCAUAUUGGCUAGGCUGGUCUCGAACUCCUGACCUCAUGGUCCGCCCACCUCAGCCUCCCAAAGUGCUGGGAUUACAGGCGUGAGCCACCGUGCCCGGCCAGUUUAUAGGUUUAGAAACAAACUCUGACUGUGGAGCUAGGAAGCAGCUUGCCCAGGAGACAAAUGCAGGCCUGAUUCCAAGGCCCGGGCGCGGAGCUGCCAAGUCUAUGGGUCCAGAGUCGCUGGCAAGUCCUAGUAAUAGUAAUAAUUUACUGUAUGCCUCGCCUGCAUCGUUCUAAGUACCUUUCCGAUGCUGUCCCACAUACUUUUGUGGGAUGGGUAUCACUAUUGUCCUUGGGGUCCUCCCAAGGAGGUUAAGGCAUAAUGGGUGAAAAGUCUUGUCCAAGGUCCUCAGCUAGAAAGUGGUAGAAGCAGUACUUGAGCCCAGAUACAAAGUCCACAACCAGGCUUCAACCACUCUGCCUUCCAGGAAGAGUUGGCAGUGUUUAAGAGUCUAGUCCAGAACACUGUCUCAACAGCAUCGUUAGAUCAGGGCUCCUAAUCCCUAGAACCCUGUGUAACACUGCAACCCUGGCCAGGCAUAGUGGUUCAAGCCUGUAAUUGCAGCACUUUUGGAGGCCAAGGUGAGAGGAUUGCUUGAGCCCAGGAGUUCAAGACCAGCCUGGGCAACAUAGUAAGACCCUAUCUUUACAAAAAAUAAAAAAUUAGCCAGGCAUGGUGGUGAGCACCUGUAGUCCCAGCUACUGGGGAGGCUGAGGCGGGAAGAUUAAUUGAGCCCGGGAGUUUGAGGCUGCAGUGAGCUAUGAUCACACCACUGCACUCCAGCCUGGGUGACAGAGUGAGACCCUGUCUCCAAAUACAUAAAUGCUCCCCUGCCUCCCUGUGGGGAUAGAUAGGGUAAGAGAACCCACUCAGAGAGAAAGGUUAAGAUGGCCUGGGUGGCUGUGGUACCCCAGGAGACUAAAAAAAGUUACGGUGAGAAAUGCUUGGAGUGCAACUCUUGGUAAAAUCUGAUGCUGGCAGGCGGGCAUUUUGGAAAAUAAGUCCUGGGGUGAUUCUCCUAGAGAUGGGCCUAGCUUGACCACAGAUAACAGAGCUGUGACGUCAGCUGAGCUCUGGCGGUUCUCACACUGCAGGAUUCCAACUACAAACCUAGACCGGGGAGGAACAGGCUUAGAAGUAGGUUUUCACCAGGCGCAGUGGCUCACGCUUGUAAUCCUAGCACUUUGGGAGGCCAAGGUGGGUGGAUCACAAAGUCAGGAGUUCAAGACCAGCCUGGCCAAGAAGGCGAAACCCUGUCUCUACUAAAAAUACAAAACUUAGCUAUUCAGGAGGCUAAGGCAGGGGAAUUGCUUGAACCUGGAUGGCAGAAGAUGCAGUGAGCUGAGAUCAUGCCACUGCACUCCAGCCUGGGCGACAGAAUGAGACUCUGUCUCAAAAAAAAAAAAAAAAAAGGUAGGUUUUCAAGCCAAGUCUCAGAAGGCACGGGAAGUGGUUGCUGUAGCAAUCAUCUUUUAUUUAUUUGGGACGGAGUCUCACUCUGUCGCCCAGGCUGGAGUGCAGUGGCAGGAUGUCAGCUCCUGACCUCAUAAUCCGCCUGCCUCGCCCUCCCAAAGUGGUGGGAUUACAGGUAUGAGCCACCGUGCCUGGCCAGCAGUCAUCUUUUACAAUGAACAAAUAGGGCUGGGCGCAGUGGCUCACAUCUUUAAUCCUAGCACUUUGGGAGAUGGGCAGAUCAUGAGGUCAGGAGACCAGCCUGGCCAACAUGGUGAAACCUCGUCUCUACUAAAAAUACAAAAAUUAGCUGGGUGUGGUGAUGCACGCCUGUAAUCCUAGCUACUCAGGAGGUUGAGGCAGGAGAAUCGCUUGAACCCGGGAGGUGGAGGUUUCAGUGAGCUGAGAUUGCGCCGCUGCACUCCAUCCUGGGCGACAGACAGACCAAGACUCCAUCUCAAAAAAAAAAAAAAAAGAACAAAUAAGUCAGGCACAGUGGCUCAUGCAUGCCUGUAAUCACAGCCCUGUGGCAGGGUGAGGCAUGAGGAUCGCUUGAGGCCAGGAGUUUGAGACUAGCUUGGGCAACAUAGUGAGACCCUAUCUCUACAAAAAGUAAAAUGAACAAAUAAAUAUAGCAACUACAUAUCAGAACUUGGAGGCACUUAUUAGCUAUUAGUCCUGAGUACUUGUAAACACUGAAUAGAAGCUAGCCAAAUUUUUAAUUCUAAUAAUAGCUAAUACUGAUUAUUGGAUUGUCUAUGUGCAAGGCACUAUUCCAAGUGCUUUUUUUUUUUUUUGGUAUUAACUCAUUAAAUCCUCACAAUCACCCCGUACAAGUAUUAUUACUGUCUGCAUGUUACAGGGAGGGAAACUGACACACAAGGAGACUAUGUACCUGCCCAAGUUACACAGCAGUGGAUUGGAAGCAGAGGUUCUGUUCCAGCAGCCACAUGUCCCCUCCAAGGAUCGCUGAGAUUCACCUGUAUGGAGGCCACUACCAUGGAUGAGAAGAGGGCCUCCAAUCCCGAGGGUCAAUACAGCCCUGAACAGAGAACUGGGAGGGGGCACCCCCGGAUCCACCUCUCCUCUAAGGCCACCCCUCCUGCACCUACCUCCAUCCCUAACCCUGGGUUCUACUGCUCUGCCAUUGCACAGAUACUACGGAGCAAAAGGGAACCAAAUGAAGACAGAUCAGAAGCUCCAAACCAGUGUGGCUCACCCCAAACCAGCAUGUCUUGACGGCACAGACUUUCACCAAACCAGAUGGCACGUGUCGGGAGCCUGACACCAACUGCUGAGCUCAGCCCAUUCCCCCUACACAGAGGCCCAAACCAGCUCGCAGCUUUUCCAGGCACUCAAUCCACACCUGCAAUGUGCCAGGCGCUGCAGUCUGUGCUGGGAACAAUGGUGAAUGAGUAACCUCAAGGACAGUCCCAAAUCCUGCCACCUCCUCUCCAUCUCCAUUCCCACUGUGGCCCUGCAACCCAGCCACGGCCCCGGCCACCUCGCUAGUCACCAGGCUUUCACUCUGACCCCAGGGAACACUCAGUUCUCCACAUGGCAGCCAGAGGGGUCUUUUAAAAUGUAAAUGAGGCCACGGGCGGUGGCUCUCUCCUGUAAUCCCAACACUUCAGGAAGACCAGGAAGAAGGACUGCUUAAGGACAGGAGUUAGAGACCAGCCUAAGCAACAGAUCCAGACCCUGUCCCUACAAAAAGUAAAUAAGCUAGGUGUGGUGGCGUACACCUUUGGUCCCAGCUACUCUAGAGGCUGAGGAAGGAGGAGGAUUGCUGGAGCCCAGGAGGUUGAGGCUGCAGUAAGCCAUGACUGUGCCACUGCACUCCAGCCUGGGCAACACAGUGAGACCCUGUCUUAAAAAAAACAGAAAACAUGACCAGGCAUGGUGGCUCACGUCUGUUAUCCCAGCACUUUGGGAGGCUGAGAUGGGUGGAUCACUUGAGGUUAGGAGUUUGAGACCAGCCUGGCCAACAUGGCGAAACCCCAUCUCUACUAAAAACACAAAAAUUAGCUGGGUGUAGUGGCGCACACCUGUAAUCCUGGCCACUCAGGAGGCUGAGGCAGGAGAAUCGCUUGAACCCAGGAGGUGGAGUUUGCAGUAGGCCAAGAUCACACCACUGCACUCCAGCCUGGGAGACAGAGCAAGACUCCAUCUCAAAAAGAAACAAAGAACAAAACCUUCCCAUAAACUUAUUUAAUAGUAAUAUACCUAACAAAACCUCACAUAUCAAUAUUAACCUUAAACAUAAAUGGACUAAAUGUUCCACUUAAAAAAUAUGAAAGAUAAGAGUCAAGAAGGUUAAAAAAAAGAAAGAUAUAUGCCUGUAAUCCCAGCACUUUGGGAGGCCGAGAUGGGCGAAUCACAAAGUCAGGAGAUUGAGACCAUCCUGGCUAACACAGUGAAAUCCCAUCUCUACUAAAAAUACAAAAAAUUAGCCGGGCGUGGUGGUGGGCACCUGUAGUCCCAGCUACUCGGGAGGCUGAGGCAGGAGAAUAGUGUGAACCCGGGAGGCGGAGCUUGCAGUGAGACAAGAUCACGCCACUGCACUCUAGCCUUGGCGACAGAGCAAGACUCCGUCUAAAAAAAAAAAAAAAAAAAAGAAAGAUAUAUAUUGGUGGAAUAGAUUAAAAAAAAAAACACUUGGUCAGGUGCAGUGGCUCAUGCCUGUAAUCCCAGCACUUUGGGAGGCCAAGGCAGGUGGAUCACCUGAGGUUAGGAGUUCGAGACCAGCCUGGCCAACAUGACGAAACCCUGUCUCUACUAAAAAUACAAAAAUCAGCCGGGCAUAGUGGUGCACACCUGUAAUCCCAGCUACUUGGUAGUCUGAGGCAGGAGGUGGAGGUUAGUAAGCCAUAAUCAUGCCACUGUACUCCAGCCUGGGCAACAGAGUGAGACAUUGUCUAAAAACAAAAAACAAAAAACAAAAAAAACCUUCAACCAACAGUAAUAUACCAAUGUUGGUUGUUACUUAGCUGUGACAAAUUCACCAGAGUAACUUAAGUGAGAGAAGCUGGGUAAGGAGUCUGGGGAACUCUCUGUAUUAUCUUUGCAACUCUUCUAUAAAAUUAAAAUUAUUGGCCAGGCGCAGUGGCUCACAUCUGUAAUCCUAGCACUUUGGGAGGCCGAGGUGGGCGAAUCACAAGGUCAGGAGUUUGAGGCCAGCCUGACCAACAUGGUGAAACCCUGUCUCUACUAAAAACACAAAAAUUAGCUGGGUGUGGUGGCAGGCGCCUAUAAUCCCAGCUAUUUGGGAAGCUGAGGCAGGAGCAUUGCUUGAACCUGGGAGGUGGAGGUUGCAGUGAGCCGAGAUCGCACCAUUGCACUCCGGCGCGGGCUACAGAGUGAGACUCUGUCUCAAAAAAAAAAAAAUUGCAAAAUAAAAAGAUUUUAAAAACUUUUUGGCUGGGCGCGGUGGCUCACGC